UUUCAGCCUAUAGCCAAAGCUCCCCGUGUUCGACUCAGGGCUUUAAGUGCGUGCCGGUGGGAAGCUGCCCGCGAAUAGCAAUAAGGACUAUCAGCGGAUGUGGACACGGCAAGGAGUGCUGCGCCCCAGUGCAGAGACCUUGUUGCUUGGUACCAGGAGGAAGUUGCCUGCCGAAAUGCAACGGUUCCAAGGUAUACCCCAAUUACGCGUGCUCUUCUACUAAAUUGAAGUGCUGUUCGCCAAACAAGUAGCAAGAUUCACAAUUCAAGCAAGAACCUUUUUACCGUCUGCGAUAUUAUGUGAUCCGAAUAAACGAUAUUUGCAUUGA